rnacentral:rRNA from 1 species
AUUGAACGCUGGCGGCAGGCCUAACACAUGCAAGUCGAGCGGCAGCGGGAAAGUAGCUUGCUACUUUUGCCGGCGAGCGGCGGACGGGUGAGUAAUGCCUGGGAAAUUGCCCAGUCGAGGGGGAUAACAGUUGGAAACGACUGCUAAUACCGCAUACGCCCUACGGGGGAAAGCAGGGGACCUUCGGGCCUUGCGCGAUUGAAUAUGCCCAGGUGGGAUUAGCUAGUUGGUGAGGUAAUGGCUCACCAAGGCGACGAUCCCUAGCUGGUCUGAUAGGAGGAUCGGCCACACUGGAACUGAGACACGGUCCAGACUCCUACGGGAGGCAGCAGUGGGGAAUAUUGCACAAUGGGGGAAACCCUGAUGCAGCCAUGCCGCGUGUGUGAAGAAGGCCUUCGGGUUGUAAAGCACUUUCAGCGAGGAGGAAAGGUUGAUGCCUAAUACGUAUCAACUGUGACGUUACUCGCAGAAGAAGCACCGGCUAACUCCGUGCCAGCAGCCGCCGUAACAC